UAGCAGUACAUUACUGUAAAAAUCCACAGUACUAUACUGUAUGUGUACAUUACAGUACAGUACUGCAGUUCAUAAUGCAUUCUGGGUAAAUUUGUUUGAGCGGGAAAAUUUUACAGUAUAUUUUGGUCUUGAUGUAACCUUGCUGUAGCCAUUGCUGUAAUGUGCCAGGUGUACUUGCAAUAAUCAGAGAAAGUGCGCCAGAGUCAAAUCACACAGACAGAGGGAGGGAGAGCACAACUCCUGGCUGCACCUGAAGGAGGACGAUUGAUUUCUGGCAGUUCGUCUUACCAUUGCUUGUAAGCUGGAUUGGGUAAGAUGGAUCAUCUUUAAAGGCACCAGGAGUUAAGGCAGAUGUGGAGGCACAACGGGUGAUACCAGACACACACCAAGCACAUUAUGUUCGGACAUUCAAUCAUGACAGGAUCCAUGUGGAUGCUGUCCAUUGAGGAAAGAGUUUGUUCAGCGGUUUCUGGAUAGAAUUAAGUCCAAAGAUGGGAAAAAGUGCACAUCCAGACAAGGAGCAAGCAAAAAGACAAGGAACUUGGUGCAGAGAAAAGCUGUGGCCAUUAACCCCCAUGUGAACAGCUUCAUGCAGUCCCUGAUUGAGUUCGAAUGGACGACUUCAAAGUAAAGGCCACUGUGGUCUGUCUGCCACAGUUUAAUGCAUUUAUUUUUAGUGUUAAAUGAAAUUCAAGUAGAAUAUUUAAAACUAUGGGCCAGUGUUCUUUUUACCACAGUGAAAUGUUACCCUUUAGUCGAUGAUGGACUUUAAAAUGAAAACUUCAAACUACGGACCAGUGUCCUCUUUGCCUGAGUUAAAUAUGUUACA